rnacentral:tRNA from 1 species
GGGGUCGUGGUUUAGUGGUAUAACGUUCGCUUAGCAUGCGAAAGGUCCGGGGUUCGAUUCCCCGCGACUCCA